rnacentral:tRNA from 1 species
GGGGUCAUAGUGUAACCAGGCUAUCAUCUGGGACUCCAGUUGUCUUUGAAGAAAUGCGCGCUCUGAGGUUUAGUACCCAAUGAUGAUCAAUUGGAGUACUGAGACAAGAGAAAUCCUAGGAUCUGGGUUCAAAUCCCGGUGACCCCA